rnacentral:lncRNA from 12 species
GUGGGUUAGAGGGGUGAACAUGACAGUGACGUGUAGGGAUUUUGGCAGAUGUGUCACAUCAGAGUGACCCUGGCAGGGGUCCAUGCCACUGAGAUGCUGCAGAGCAAGGACUAGACUGGGCCUGGCUACCGGGAGGUCCAGUCCUUGUGCUAUCUCCACACCAAUGAGCUGUGUGUCCUUGGCAGGUUGCCUCACCUCUCUGGACUCAGGCCUUGUUUGCACGGGAUGGUUAUAGACUGGCUGCCUGUAGGCGGGAUUCAGCCUUCAAUCAGGCUUGUUAAUUCAAGGCUCCGUUUCCUGAAGUGCUGGAAAAAUCAAUCGCAUGGAGGAGGGAGGAGACAGAGAGGUCCCUGGGAGGCUGCUCAGGUGUUCCAGAGCUGUGUCUCCUACCGCAUGGGUUCAGCCCACUCUUGGGAAGCGGCCUCUUUUGGGAAACGAGGGAACUUGCAAACGGCUUGUUAAAGGUAAGUAAAUUCAAAGGAGGGUAACCAGAGGCAUGUCCAAGUGGAAUCCGCUGAAGGGGCCUCACAGGCCCUUCAGGUGAAACCAAGAUUUUUUUGGUUUUCAGCUGGGAUGAAAGAGACUCCCGUUGAUCAUCACAGGCUGUGCCACCCACUGUGGGAGGCAGUGGGCCACAGGAAAGAGGGGACAAGUCACCAUGCCUGCCUUCUCAAAGCUGACAGCUCUGCUGGAAGGGAGACAUGCACAAAAAUAGCCCUCUUGAUACAACAGAGCAAGUUCAUAAUAACAGCUAACACGCGUGGGGUGUGUACUAUAUGCCAGCACCUAAAAAGCAUGGAGUAAUUUAAGUUCCCCCAAACCUAGUGAUAGAGAUAUUAUGACUAUCAUCUCCAUUUUACAGAAGAGGACACUGAGGCCUGGGUGGUGAAGUAACUUGCCCAAGGCCUUCUCUACUAAGUGGAGGACCUGGGAUUCAAAUCCACGCCCUCUGGAUCCCAGGCCUAGGCUCUUUAUUGCUGGUUUGUUUCUGUCUCUGGCUCACCUUGGGAAAUACGGAGAACUCAGAGCUUUAUUUAUUUCUUUUUAAAAUAUUUUGUUUAAAUUCAAUUUGCCAACAUAUAGUAUAAUACCCAGUGCUCAUCCUAUCAAGGGCUCUCCUUUGGAGAGUGUAGAGCUUUAAAUGGUGCAUUUGCUGGCUCUUAAAUCCCAGAUCCUCGUUUUAAUCAGCCUUGUGCUCUUGCCCCUGGCCUCACUUCUUCUUGAACCCUGGCCUUCCUCCUUCUCGGUGACUCACCUC